rnacentral:rRNA from 1 species
CCUGAAGGAACGUUGAAGACGACGACGUUGAUAGGCCGGAUGUGUAAGCGCAGCGAUGCGUUGAGCUAACCGGUACUAAUGAACCGUGAGGCUUAACCUUACAACGCCGAAGGUGUUU